AUUGAACGCUGGCGGCAGGCUUAACACACGCAAGUCGAGCGGGGAAAGGUAGCUUGCUACCUGACCUAGCGGCGGACGGGUGAGUAAUGCUUAGGAAUCUGCCUAUUAGUGGGGGACAACAUCUCGAAAGGGAUGCUAAUACCGCAUACGUCCUACGGGAGAAAGCAGGGGACCUUCGGGCCUUGCGCUAAUAGAUGAGCCUAAGUCGGAUUAGCUAGUUGGUGGGGUAAAGGCCUACCAAGGCGACGAUCUGUAGCGGGUCUGAGAGGAUGAUCCGCCACACUGGGACUGAGACACGGCCCAGACUCCUACGGGAGGCAGCAGUGGGGAAUAUUGGACAAUGGGGGGAACCCUGAUCCAGCCAUGCCGCGUGUGUGAAGAAGGCCUUUUGGUUGUAAAGCACUUUAAGCGAGGAGGAGGCUACCGAGAUUAAUACUCUUGGAUAGUGGACGUUACUCGCAGAAUAAGCACCGGCUAACUCUGUG
rnacentral:rRNA from 1 species